GUACUCUUUACAAUCUACCUCAUCAACACACCCAGAAAGAAGAGGCUGCCAGAGUGAACAUGACUGAGGGGCACAGCGAGGCCAGCAUGGCAUCUUUUGUGGGUUCUGCCCGCAGCUAUGAUGAAAUACAAUUAAAACCCAAAGCUCGAGCAGCCUCAGAGGACGAGCAGCUGGUUGGCUUUGGCUGUGGACCAGAGAGCAGCUGGAGGGAGGUGUGGGACAGGAGGGCUGACGGCUACGCUGCCUUCAUCAUGAGAACUAAGUGUUUUCAGGGACUCAGAUGUACAGACUGCAGCAGUAGCUGAUAAGGAAACAGUCGGCCUCUGUCUCCUCUUCACCAGUUCCUGCCUCAAGUGCACCUGAUGAAGACACCAUGAUGGAUGAUGAUGAUGAGGAGCUGGAGAGAGCGAUGAAGAGCAUAUCACCCACCAAGGAACUGGCACAGUGUUUCCCACCGUGCCGACAGUGAAGAGACCUGUAACCAUUCCUCCUGAGCUGCAGGUUCUGGUGACAGAGGUUGCUCAUCCCAACAAACUGAGUUCUUUCAGCGUGAACUUCAGCUAACCGAGCGCAGAGUGGAAGACAGAGCGGAAAAGAAGAGGAAACUGCCGGACCCUCAGCCUCGAGGAACAAUGUGUCGUUUCUGUCACACAGAGCUGAAGCAGGGUCCAACCAGCAGACACACACACACACACACACACACACACACACAAUGUCCUUUAACAUAAACGCCGUUCGACCACGGAGCAUUGCAUUCUGUGAAAUUACAACUGAUUAAUCUGAUUGAUUUAGUUGUUUCCUUGUAUAUAUUUAUAAUUGAUUAUUGGAUAUAAAACUGAUUGAUAUGUUGUUUAUUCUUGUUUUAGCACUCUCUAAACUGCACUGAAGACACGUGUGGACAGAUUUAAUAAAACAAUGACUUUUAGCACAGAA